rnacentral:rRNA from 1 species
AGCCACGGCUAACUACGUGCCAGCAGCCGCGGUAAUACGUAGGUGGCAAGCGUUGUCCGGAAUUACUGGGUGUAAAGGGAGCGCAGGCGGGUGAUCAAGUCAGCUGUGAAAACUACGGGCUUAACCCGUAGACUGCAGUUGAAACUGUUCAUCUUGAGUGAAGUAGAGGUUGGCGGAAUUCCGAGUGUAGCGGUGAAAUGCGUAGAUAUUCGGAGGAACACCGGUGGCGAAGGCGGCCAACUGGGCUUUAACUGACGCUGAGGCUCGAAAGUGUGGGGAGCAAACAGGAUUAGAUACCCUGGUAGUCCACACCGUAAACGAUGAUUACUAGGUGUUGGAGGAUUGACCCCUUCAGUGCCGCAGUUAACACAAUAAGUAAUCCACCUGGGGAGUACGACCGCAAGGUUGAAACUCAAAGGAAUUGACGGGGGCCCGCACAAGCAGUGGAUUAUGUGGUUUAAUUCGAAGCAACGCGAAGAACCUUACCAGGGCUUGACAUCCAACUAACGAAGCAGAGAUGCAUUAGGUGCCCUUCGGGGAAAGUUGAGACAGGUGGUGCAUGGUUGUCGUCAGCUCGUGUCGUGAGAUGUUGGGUUAAGUCCCGCAACGAGCGCAACCCUUGCCAUUAGUUGCUACGCAAGAGCACUCUAAUGGGACCGCUACCGACAAGGUGGAGGAAGGUGGGGACGACGUCAAAUCAUCAUGCCCCUUAUGUGCUGGGCUACACACGUAAUACAAUGGCCAUCAACAGAGAGAAGCAAUACCGCGAGGUGGAGCAAAACUUCAAAAAUGGUCUCAGUUCGGACUGCAGGCUGCAACCCGCCUGCACGAAGUUGGAAUUGCUAGUAAUCGUGGAUCAGCAUGCCACGGUGAAUACGUUCCCGGGUCUUGUACACACCGCCCGUCACACCAUGGGAGCCGGUAACACCCGAAGUCAGUAGUCUAACCGCAAGGAGGACGCUGCCGAAGGUGGGAUUGGCGACUGGGGUGAAGUCGUAACAAGGUAGCCGUAUCGGAAGGGGCGGCUG